UAAAGUAGAAACCGCAUAUUAGGAAUACAGAUAAUUGAUGCAUUCGCGUUAUUGAAACAAAAUGUCUAGGAAUGGACCGGUUGAAUAUUAAAACAUUGAAAAUUAAUCGGAUAUUUGAAACAAUUAGGGUCAGGGUUGACGAAAUCCUGUUGGCAUACCGGUUAUCCGGCGAUAACCAAUGUAGUGUAAUAAUUAUGAUGUACAUUACCCUAUCUUUACUGUAGUUAGGUAUCGAUACUGGAUUCAACUUGUCCAAUUAAUUUCGAUUACUUUUAGCUACUGUUGUUUAUCGUAAGUACUAUGCUCUUUACUGUUAUCGUUUUAAUUCAACUCUGGUGGUUAGUGUUUCGUUUUUCUAAAAAUCUAAAAUUGUCUAAACGCCGAAAUUUAAGUUCGGGGUAGAAGUGCGAGUUGCGAAAGUCUUAUGAUGUGUUUCCAAAAAUUAGUUUACAUGAUGCCGCAACUCGACUAAAUGUUUCUUAUUACACAUUGAAUAGAAUUUUGAAAGAUUGUUCGAAGAUCGACACUCAACAUUAGAAAUUAAAAGUGAUAAUCGGAAAAGAAGAAAUUGUAAACAGAGCGUUGGAGGAAUGUUUCGCACAAUUGAGUAAAAAAUAAGCCCAUAUUAUGUUGUGUGUGUAUGUAUAAAGCAUAUUAUCAAAAAUUAAUUAUUUUUAGAUUCUGAGCGUAGCGAGUUAUCUAUCGGUUUUACUACGAUGUGU